rnacentral:tmRNA from 1 species
GGGGGCGAACUGGAUUCGACGGAGAUAAUGAAACAGAGGUUGCAUGUCGAGGCUCCACCCACCUCGUUAAAAAGGUGGACAAAACUAAGUGCAGAACCACUGCCACUUGCUGCCUAAAUAGUAGGCAUGCCGUUUCUCUUGCGCUUUCCUGCAGCGCUUGAGAGGCGUCGACAAGCAGGAUAGCAAGUCAGGCCCGCCCUGAGCCUGGUGAGCGAAAAAACAUCAGGACUGGUUCCAUGGUAUCUUUCUUCUUCAGAAGCCGUGGGAUGAGAUUUGAGAAGAGGAUAUGCAUGUAGAGACCUUCUGUUGAAUGUCUUCGGACGCGGGUUCGAUUCCCGCCGCCUCCAGUA